GGUCAUGAGCGCCAGCGCGAAGCCCCGGCUCGCUGGCCGGCAACCCUCCCACCGCGGCGGGGUGCCCCGGGUGACGACCUGGCCGUACGCCGUCCGGCGUCGGCAAGCGCGGG
rnacentral:ncRNA from 1 species